rnacentral:rRNA from 1 species
UACGUAGGUGGCAAGCGUUGUCCGGAUUUACUGGGCGUAAAGGAUGCGUAGGCGGAUUUUUAAGUGGGAUGUGAAAUUCCGAGGCUCAACCUCGGCGCUGCGUUCCAAACUGGAAGUCUAGAGUGCGGGAGAGGAAAGUGGAAUUCCUAGUGUAGCGGUGAAAUGCGUAGAGAUUAGGAAGAACACCAGUGGCGAAGGCGACUUUCUGGACCGUAACUGACGCUGAUGCAUGAAAGCGUGGGGAG